AUUGAACGCUGGCGGCAUGCUUUACACAUGCAAGUCGGACGGCAGCGGGGUAGUGCUUGCACUACUUCCGGCGAGUGGCGAACGGGUGAGUAAUAUAUUGGAACGUACCGAGUAAUGGGGAAUAACAAUUCAAAGGUUUGGCUAAUACCCCUUAGCUCCUGAGGAGGAAGGCGGGGAACCUUCUGUCCUUGGUUUUUUCUGGCGGCCAUUAUUGGAUUCGUUAGUUGUGGGGGUAAGGCCCUCCAAGGGCGCCGAUCAGUACAGGGUCUGAGAGGAUGAUCCGCCACACUGGGACUGAGACACGGCCCAGACUCCUACGGGAGGCAGCAGUGGGGAAUGUUGGACAAUGGGCGCAAGCCUGAUCCAGCCAUGCCGCGUGUCUGAAGAAGGCCUUCGGGUUGUAAAGGACUUUUGUUAGGGAAGAAAAAGGAGCGGUUAAUACCCGUUUCUGCUGACGGUACCUAAAGAAUAAGCACCGGCUAACUACGUG
rnacentral:rRNA from 1 species